AGAUGCAAUUAUGAAAAGGUGGUCCGUAAGUUGGUCAUUAUCAAUAGUGGUCAUUAUCGAUAGAGAUCAAGAAUGUCCUGAAGAGCAGGCUGAGCUCUCUGAAGGCCAAGGUCAACAGCUGCCAAACCUUGAAUGCAUUAAUUUCUGCAAAGUAUAAGUACUUUCAGAAUGAAGACAAAGAGGAGGAAUUCGAGGUUCUUUCUGACAAGCUGAAGGAUGCUGAGACUCGGGCAGAGUUGGCAGAGAUCAGUAACUAAAUUGAAGAAAAGCAUUGAUGAUGUAGAAAUCUGGCUCAUGCCAAAGAAGAAAAUCUUAGUAUGCACCGGGUGUUGGACUUGACUUUACUGGAGUUAAAUGAC
rnacentral:lncRNA from 1 species